rnacentral:rRNA from 1 species
GAUGAACGCUGGCGGCGUGCCUAAUACAUGCCAGUCGAGCGAACGGACGAGAAGCUUGCUUUUCUGAUGUUAGCGGCGGACGGGUGAGUAACACGUGGAUAACCUACCUAUAAGACUGGGAUAACUUCGGGAAACCGGAGCUAAUACCGGAUAAUAUUUUGAACCGCAUGGUUCAAAAGUGAAAGACGGUCUUGCUGUCACUCAUCGAUGGAUCCGCGCUGCAUUAGCUAGUUGGUAAGGUAACGGCUUACCAAGGCAACGAUGCAUAGCCGACCUGAGAGGGUGAUCGGCCACACUGGAACUGAGCCACGGUCCAGACUCCUACGGGAGGCACCAGUAGGGAAUCUUCCGCAAUGGGCGAAAGCCUGACGGAGCAACGCCGCGUGAGUGAUGAAGGUCUUCGGAUCGUAAAACUCUGUUAUUAGGGAAGAACAUAUGUGUAAGUAACUGUGCACAUCUUGACGGUACCUAAUCAGAAAGCCACGGCUAACUACGUG